rnacentral:sRNA from 1 species
UCCAAGAGAUGUUCAGGCGAGUGAGUGAGCAGUUCACAGCUAUGUUCAGGAGAAAGGCUUUCUUGCAUUGGUACACAGGUGAGGGAAUGGACGAGAUGGAAUUCACAGAAGCGGAGAGCAACAUGAACGAUCUUGUGUCAGAGUACCAGCAAUACCAAGAUGCAACUGCGGAUGAAGAAGGUGACUACGAGGAUGAGGAAGAAGGUGAAUAUCAACAGGAGGAAGAGUACUGAGAAUAAUUUAGUUAUAACUGCUUUAAAAACAAAAACAAUUUAGUCGUUUGCUACUUU